rnacentral:lncRNA from 1 species
CUUGUUCAGAUCAAUCUGCCUAAAGCCCAUUUCCUCCAGCUCCCUCAGCAGCUUCUCUUCAUUGUGACCAUCUAUGUCAAAAGGCUCAGGUGCUGCGGCGCUGGCUGCAGGUGGAGGCACAGGCACAGAAGCAGGGGCAGAUGCAGGUGCGGAUGCAGGGGCAGGCAUAGAAACAGGCACAGUUGUAGGCAGGAUAGGCACAUUAACAGGUGAAGGUCCAACCGGGGCAAGCAGCUCAGGUGCAGGUGCAGGUGCAGGUGCAGGCACACUAACAGAAGGCACAAAAGCAGCAGCAGUGGCACUGGACAUGGGAACAUCAACGACAAGGUUUGCAGGAGCUGCUGCAGGCAUAGAGGUAGCAACUACUAGAGCAGGCUGAGAUUUCUUGGGCUCUGGAACAUCACUCGGAUAGAAGUGGAACUCUUUAGU